GAAAACAUACCUGUAUAGUGGGAAUAUGUUCGUCAUAUACUGUCUUCCUCCUUCGUGCUGAAGAAGAUUGCGAGCAUAAACAGAGACGAUGAUGGCAGCAAUCAGAGCUAUACAGCAACCACUGAAUAAACCUGCACACAAAAGGAACGUUAUCCGGUGCCUCUCUCUUUUCACUCCCGGUCUCAACACCUUCAUUCCUUCUCUCCGAUUUCCAUUUGCAAAGUGCUUGAUAUACGAGGCCUCUAGUUUUUCGGUAUGUUUUUGAAGCAUUCCGUGAAGUUAUCUGCAAAUAAUUCAAGAAGUUUAGUGAAAAUUCAAGAAAGCUAGUUGAUUGAAGGUGAAGUGCAAUGUAACAAAUACCUUGUCAUAUUUCUUCAUGAUCUUGGAGAAGGCAAGUAUAUUCAAGAAACUGCAACAUCAGUUCUGUUAGUCAUGUUACAAUAUCACAUUCUAUCCCAAACUUUUCUGAAAGUCGUGAUAGAAUUGGAAACUGUCAAAUGUUGGGAUAGAAAGUGAUAUUAACCCAAUAUAGAAAGUGCCAAUGGAAGCU